CUCAUAGGGAGUUCGAUCCUGGAUCAAGAUGAACACUGGCGGCAUGCUUAACACAUGCAAGUCGGAUGAAAAACAUGGGAAACGGUGUUUCCAGUGGCAGACGGGUGAGUAACGCGUAAAAACCUGCCCUUGGGAGGGGAACGGCUGCUAAUACCCCGUAGACUGAGGAGCUAAAGGAGGAAUCCGCCAGAGGAGGGGCUCGCGUCUGAUUUGCUAGUUGGUAAGGCAAUAGCUUACCAAGGCAAUGAUUAGUAGCUGGUCCGAGAGGAUGAUCAGCCACACUGGGACUGAGACAUGGCCCAGACUCUUACGAGAGGCAGUAGUGGGGAAUUUUCUGCAAUGGGCAAAAGCCUAAUGGAGCAAUGCCGCGUGGAGGUAGAUGGCCCAUGAGUUGUGAACUUCUUUUCCCGGAGAAGAAGCAAUGAUGGUAUGUGAGGAAUAAGCAUCGACUAACUCUAUGCCAGCCGCCCCAGUAAUAUAGAGGAUGCAAGGUUAUCCGGAAUGAUUAGGCAUAAAGCGUCUGUAGGUGGAUUUUUAAGUCUGCCGUCAAAUCCCAGGGCUUAACCCUGGAUAGGCAGUGGAAACUACCAAGCUAGAGUAUGGUAGGGGCAGAGGGAAUUUCUGGUGGAGCGGUGAAAUGCGUAGAGAUCGGAAAGAACACCAAUGACGAAAGCACUUUUCUAGGUCGACACUGACACUAAGAGAUGAAAGAUAGGGGAGCGAAUGGGAUUAGAUACCCCAGUAGUCCUAGCCAUAAACGAUGAAUACUAGGCACUGUGCGUAUCGACCCGUGCAGUGCUGUAGCUAAUGUGUUAAGUAUCCCGCUUGGGGAUUACGUUCACAAGAAUGAAACUCAAAGGAAUUGAUGGGGCCCGCACAAGUAGUGGAGCAUGUGGUUUAAUUUGAUGCAAAGAGAAGAACCUUACCAGGGCUUGACAUGCCGUGAAUCCUCUUGAAAGAGAGAGGUGCCUUCAGGAACACGGACACAGGUGGUGUAUGGCUAUCGUCAGCUCAUGCCGUAACGUAUUGGGUUAAGUCCCACAAUAAGAGAAACCCUCGUGUUUAGUUGCCAUCGUUGAGUAUGGAACUCUGAACGGACUGUCGGUGAUAAGCCGGAGAAAGGUGAGGAUGACGUCAAGUCAUCAUGGCCCAUAUGCCCUGGGCGACACACGUGCUACAAUAGCCGGGACCAAGGGUUCCGAUCCCAUGAGGGUGAGCUAACCCCAAAAACCCAUCCUUAAUUCAGAUUGCAGGCUGCAACUCGCCUGCAUGAAGCCAAAAUUGCUAGUAAUCGCCGGUCAGCCAUAUGGCGGUGAAUUCGUUACCGGGCCUUGUACACACUGCCCGUCACACUAUGAGAGCUAGCCAUGCCCGAAGUCGUUACCUUAACUGCAAUGAGGGGGAUGCCAAAGGCAGGGCUAGUGAGUGGAGUGAAGUGGUAACAAGGUAGCCGUACUGGAAGGUGCGGCUGGAUCACCUCCUUU
rfam:Capsicum annuum cultivar Zunla-1 unplaced genomic scaffold scaffold4217, whole genome shotgun sequence